rnacentral:rRNA from 1 species
CACGUAGGGCGCAAGCGUUGUCCGGAAUUAUUGGGCGUAAAGAGCUCGUAGGCGGUCUGUUGCGUCCGCUGUGAAAACUCGGGGCUUAACCCCGAGCCUGCAGUGGAUACGGGCAGACUAGAGGUAGGUAGGGGAGAAUGGAAUUCCCGGUGUAGCGGUGAAAUGCGCAGAUAUCGGGAGGAACACCGGUGGCGAAGGCGGUUCUCUGGGCCUUACCUGACGCUGAGGCGCGAAGGCAUGGGGAGCGAACGGG